rfam:Lachnospiraceae bacterium strain KH1P17 genome assembly, contig: Ga0059119_103
GCCACUAUGGCUCAGUUGGUAGAGCAACGCAUUCGUAAUGCGUGGGUCGCCGGUUCGAGUCCGGCUAGUGGCU